UGGUCCAUCCUAAUCCCUGCUGGUCCGUCUGUGGCCUGCCAGGUUUCGCUUGUGGACCAGAGCACCCUAGAAGCCUCACCUGAGGAGUGAGCAGGGCUCCAGUGGGCUCAUGUCAUGGGCGCUUCUAGACACUC
rnacentral:snoRNA from 8 species